GAUGAACGCUGGCGGCGUGCCUAAUACAUGCCAGUCGAGCGAACGGACGAGAAGCUUGCUUCUCUGAUGUUAGCGGCGGACGGGUGAGUACCACGUGGAUAACCUACCUAUAAGACUGGGAUAACUUCGGGAAACCGGAGCUAAUACCGGAUAAUAUUUUGAACCGCAUGGUUCAAAAGUGAAAGACGGUCUUGCUGUCACUUAUAGAUGGAUCCGCGCUGCAUUAGCUAGUUGGUAAGGUAACGGCUUACCAAGGCAACGAUGCAUAGCCGACCUGAGAGGGUGAUCGGCCACACUGGAACUGAGACACGGUCCAGACUCCUACGGGAGGCAGCAGUAGGGAAUCUUCCGCAAUGGGCGAAAGCCUGACGGAGCAACGCCGCGUGAGUGAUGAAGGUCUUCGGAUCGUAAAACUCUGUUAUUAGGGAAGAACAUAUGUGUAAGUAACUGUGCACAUCUUGACGGUACCUAAUCAGAAAGCCACGGCUAACUACGUG
rnacentral:rRNA from 1 species